rnacentral:rRNA from 13 species
CAACAGCACGCGGUGUUCCCAGGUGGUCACCUUCCCAAGUACUGACCGCGUCCGAUGCUACUUAACUGCGAUGAUCAGCAAAGAACCGGUGCUUUCAGUAUGGUAUGGCCG